rnacentral:rRNA from 1 species
CCUACGGGAGGCAGCAGUGGGGAAUAUUGCACAAUGGGCGAAACCCUGAUGGAGCAACGCCGCGUGAGUGAAGAAGUAUUUCGGUAUGUAAAGCUCUAUCAGCAGGGAAGAAAUAAAGUCCUUUUGACUUUGCACGGUCCCUGACUAAGAAGCCCCGGCUAAAUACGUGCCAGCAGCCGCGGUAAUACGGAGGGGGCAAGCGUUAUCCGGAUUUCCUGGGUGUAAAGGGAGCGUAGGCGGCAGGGCAAGCCUGAUGUGAAAGCCCCGGGCUCAACCCCGGGACUGCAUUGGGAACUGCCAGGCUGGAGUGCAGGAGGGGCAGGCGGAAUUCCUGGUGUAGCGGUGAAAUGCGUAGAUAUUAGGAGGAACACCAGUGGCGAAGGCGGCCUGCUGGACGGUGACUGACGCUGAGGCUCGAAAGCGUGGGGAGCAAACAGGAUUAGAUACCCUUGUAGUC